GAUGAAGAACGCAGCGAAAUGCGAUAAAUAAUGUGAAUUGCAGAAUUCAGUGAAUCAUCGAAUCUUUGAACGCACAUUGCGCCCGCCAGUAUUCUGGCGGGCAUGCCUGUCUGAGCGUCAUUUCAACCCUCAAGCAACUUCUGCUUGGUGUUGGGGAUCGGCCGUCAAACGCCGCCCCCGAAAUCUAUUGGCGAUCUCGCUGUAGCUUCCUAUGCGUAGUAGUAACAUCUCGCAUCUGGAGAGCGGCGCGGUCAUGCCGUAAAACACCCAACUUCUCAGGUUGACCUCAGAUCAGGUAGGAAUACCCGCUGAACUUAAGCAUAUCAAUAAGCGGAGGA
rnacentral:misc_RNA from 1 species